rnacentral:tRNA from 1 species
GGGGUUGUGGCUCAGUGGUAGAGUGCUUGCCUAGCAUGUGUGAGCCACUGGGUUUGAUUAUCAGCACUGCAUAUAAAUAAAUGAAUAAAAUAAAGGUCCAUCAACAACUAAAAAAAAAGUUAAAAAUAAAUAAAUGAAUAACACUCAGAAAUUUUAAUUAAAAAUGGUAUAUGAUAUAACCGGUAAAUAGACAUUGGAUAAGAAUGAAUUAAUCACCAGAAUUUCAAGUUCAAGUUUACCUCA